GCCUGGUUGGCUCAGUCAGUAGAGCAUGUGACCUUUGUUCUCAGGGUCAUGAGUUCAAGCCCCACAUUGGGCG
rnacentral:tRNA from 1 species